rnacentral:rRNA from 1 species
GACGAACGCUGGCGGCGUGCUUAACACAUGCAAGUCGAACGGAAAGGCCCUGCUUUUGUGGGGUGCUCGAGUGGCGAACGGGUGAGUAACACGUGAGUAACCUGCCCUUGACUUUGGGAUAACUUCAGGAAACUGGGGCUAAUACCGGAUAGGAGCUCCUGCUGCAUGGUGGGGGUUGGAAAGUUUCGGCGGUUUGGAUGGACUCGCGGCUUAUCAGCUUGUUGGUGGGGUAGUGGCUUACCAAGGCUUUGACGGGUAGCCGGCCUGAGAGGGUGACCGGCCACAUUGGGACUGAGAUACGGCCCAGACUCCUACGGGAGGCAGCAGUGGGGAAUAUUGCACAAUGGGCGGAAGCCUGAUGCAGCAACGCCGCGUGCGGGAUGACGGCCUUCGGGUUGUAAACCGCUUUCGCCUGUGACGAAGCGUGAGUGACGGUAAUGGGUAAAGAAGCACCGGCUAACUACGUG